rnacentral:rRNA from 1 species
UACGGGGGGGGCAAGCGUUGUUCGGAAUUACUGGGCGUAAAGGGCUCGUAGGCGGCCAACUAAGUCAAACGUGUAAUCCCUCGGCUUAACCGGGGAACUGCGUCUGAUACUGGAUGGCUUGAGAUUGGGAGAGGGAUGCGGAAUUCCAGGUGUAGCGGUGAAAUGCGUAGAUAUCUGGAGGAACACCGGUGGCGAAGGCGGCAUCCUGGACCAACACUGACGCUGAGGGAGCGAAAGCCAGGGGAGCAAACGGG